GUUGAUUCACUGGAGUCUCACAUAUCUGUAGCUGGCAGGCACACUGCGCAUAGAUGGCUUGUGAAAAUGAAGGCAGGACUUUUACUUGAAGUGGAGUAUUUUCACAGAGUAGUAAUGCUCCUUUUACUUAGGUAAAGAACUCAAAACUUUUCCACCACUGGUAGCUGGUUGGCUUAGCUUUGCAUGAGGACUGGAAACAGGGGAAAACAACUAGCCAGGCCCCGUCCAAAGGUAACCAGCGCACCUCGAUGUUAAUAGUUAACGUGUUAUAUCUUGGUGGUUUAGACUGUCCUUCUUAUUCCUGGAAAUUCAUAUAAAAUUUUCCUAAAACAUCUAUCCCAGUCUAGUUGUCGUUGAACUAUUGGAGUACAGUCAUGGUUUUGGGCUCUUUUGAGAGGUUAUAAACUAUUUUUCGCAUAUUCACACAAACAUUAUGUGUGUAAAAUAGUCAAAAACAAGUGCUUAGGUGGAAAAAAGGUGGCCUAUUCAAAGAGCAAAAUGAAUAAAACUACAUGCACUUAAAAAACUUAACUUAAAAAGUGAUAUAAACUAUAUAUCACUGGAUUUAAAUUCCAACAUGAUGCAUCAAUGGAUGAUAGGCUGGCGUGUAAGCGGCUCAGGAGAGAGAAGACAGACAAGAGAAUGGAUCACUACUAAAGUACACAGACACUUUGGCUGCUCUGCUGGGAUCGGUGAAAGCACACCGGAGGAUAGUCUGUGCCGAAUGGAGAGCACAUUUCCAAAGGUCUAUGGGUCUUCAGACUACAGGCUGGAAAUAUGCAUGUCUUCCUCUUUCUCAGUUCAAAGUGAGAUGGGAACAGGGACUGCAGAAUUGGACACUAAUGAAAGUCAUUUACAAAUACACAAAUUCCAAAACACAUUCCAUGAAGGAAAUGUGUGUCUUGCUGCAUCCAUAGAAGACAGCCAACCUCUGCCAGACAUGGCGACCAGAUAACAACAGGAUUGAAGAUCACACACACCUCAUCCUCUUAUGGAGGAAAUGGAGGGAGGGUGAAGAGGAGGGACUUCUCCAGCACAUGCAGUGGUGAAAGCUCUCUCUACCGCGAUGUUGGAGAUUGUUACAAACUCAAAGGAAAGAGUGCACACCUCUACACUGGCAGUGGUGCAUCUGCAACUGUUAUAAGAUCAAAGGGGCCGUCUCCGAACUCUGUGAUCAAAUUUUAUUACAUGUAAUUGUGCACACACUCCAAAGUGCAGGAUGAUUGGCGCAUACAAAUUGAUCUAUUUACUGUGUGUGAUGUGAAAUGGGGGGCUGCCCAGCGUUAUAAACCCACCGAGAGCUAUUGAUGUGAAGGUAAGAGAACAAGAGAACAAUAAGAAUAUCACACAGCCACAAAGAGCAGCCAACCUGAACUUGUACAAGUUUCAUAUAGUGUGGGUUACACAACGAAUUGCAUUAUGUGAGGAUUAGAUAAACCUGAUAAUAUUUUAUAUAAACAGUUUAUCGAAAGGUGAAAGCUUUGGCAAGGACUAAAGUCUUUUGUACAGCACACCUACAUGUUAAAUCUGAUUAUCUAAUCUCCAGUUUCCCCCGGGGAGUGUCUGCAUCACUUUACCACCACGACAAGGCUGUCAGAUCUUGUUGCAGCCAUUCUAGACAACGUUUGUGGUUCCACCAGAAUCGUCCCGGAAUGGCUCUCUACUCCGCUCCAUGGAGAAUCAUGCCAAAUCUAUUUUUUGACGGAAGCUUACAGCAGCCUUGUCAAGCUACACAGAGCAGAUUGAGCCAGGCAGGAAUACAGACAGUGGAACAUAAAAACACAAAAUAAAACAGAUUCAUGAGCAGCACCACAAACAGUUGGAAGCAUUUGGGCUGGCAGUCCGAACAAGAAUUUAGAGAGACAAAGUUUAUUACUUUUAAUAUUUACU